rnacentral:rRNA from 1 species
UACAGAGGGUGCUAGCGUUGUUCGGAAUCAUUGGGCGUAAAGGGCGCGUAGGUGGUUCUGUAUGUCUACCGUGAAAGCGUACGGCUCAACCGUAUUUUGUCGGUGGAAACUGCAGGACUUGAGGCUGGGAGGGGCUGGUGGAAUUCCCUGUGUAGCGGUGAAAUGCGUAGAGAUGGGGGAGAACACUCGUGGCGAAGGCGGCCAGCUAGACCAGUUCUGACACUGAGGCGCGACAGCGUGGGGAGCAAACAGG